AAUCUUGCGCAAUGGGCGAAAGCCUGACGCAGCGACGCCGCGUGAGCGAUGAAGGCCUUCGGGUCGUAAAGCUCUGUCCUCAGGGAAGAAGGAAGUGACGGUACCUGAGGAGGAAGCCCCGGCUAACUACGUGCCAUCAGCCGCGGUAAUACGCAGGGGGCGCGCGUUGUCCGGAAUUAUUGGGCGUAAAGAGCUCGUAGGCGGCUUGUCGCGUCUGCUGUGAAAUCCCGGAGCUCAACUCCGGGCUUGCAGUGGGUACGGGCAGGCUAGAGUGCGGUAGGGGAGAUUGGAACUCCUGGUGUAGCGGUGGAAUGCGCAGAUAUCAGGAAGAACACCGAUGGCGAAGGCAGAUCUCUGGGCCGCUACUGACGCUGAGGAGCGAAAGCAUGGGGAGCAAACA
rnacentral:rRNA from 1 species